AGAGUGAACGCUGGCGGUAGGCCUAACACAUGCAAGUCGAACGGCAGCACAGUAAGAGCUUGCUCUUAUGGGUGGCGAGUGGCGGACGGGUGAGGAAUACAUCGGAAUCUACCUUUUCGUGGGGGAUAACGUAGGGAAACUUACGCUAAUACCGCAUAAGACCUUCGGGUGAAAGCCGGGGACCUUCGGGCCUGGCGCGGAUAGAUGAGCCGAUGUCGGAUUAGCUUGUUGGCGGGGUAAAAGCCCACCAAGGCGACGAUCCGUAGCUGGUCUGAGAGGAUGAUCAGCCACACUGGAACUGA
rnacentral:rRNA from 1 species